UGUUGGUUCUGAGCACUGCAGUGUAAAGUUCAUUGUCUGACAAUAUGAGACAGGAGAGCAAGGAGUGCAGUGAGGAGGACUGUCAUGAGCUGUAUUCCAACAAUGAGCACAGAACAGCAAAUCUGCAUUAAUCAUGAACCAAAUACAGAUGUUCAUACACCACAAUAAUUCACAUCCAGCUUCUGAAGGUACAGAAAGAGUGCAAAGAUAAACAACUGCAACAAUUUCGAAAUGUUACCAUGGAAACCCCACAAGGACAAAAAAAAUCUGAAGGCUGCAAGCCAAAUAAACUGAUUACACUGCU